rnacentral:rRNA from 1 species
UUCGCAAUGCCCGAAAGGGUGACGAAGCGACGCCGCGUGGGUGAGGAAGGCCUUCGGGUUGUAAAGCCCUGUCAGGAGUUAAGAAAUGUAAGUGCGCUAAUAUCGCAUUUAUUUGACGAAGGCUCCAAAGGAAGUCACGGCUAACUCUGUGCCAGCAGCCGCGGUAAUACAGAGGUGGCAAGCGUUGUUCGGAAUUAUUGGGCGUAAAGAGCACGUAGGUGGGUUUGUAAGUCAGAUGUGAAAGCCUUCUGUUCAACGGAAGAAUUGCAUCUGAAACUGCGAGUCUUGAGUGUAGGAGGGGAGAAUGGAACUUCUGGUGGAGCGGUGAAAUGCGUAGAUAUCAGAAGGAACGCCGGCGGCGAAAGCGAUUCUCUGGCCUAUUACUGACACUCAGUGUGCGAAAGCUAGGGGAGCAAACGGGAUUAGAUACCCCGGUAGUCCUAGCCGUAAACGAUGGGCACUAAGUAGA